UGUCACAGCCAAUAUCACCCUGCAGCCCAAGACUGGUUGCCCACUGAAUCUAAGCAGGGUUGAGCCUGGUCAGUACCUGGAUGGGAGACCUCCUAGAAAAACUAGGCUGCUGUUGGAA
ensembl:rRNA 5S_rRNA 5S ribosomal RNA